rnacentral:rRNA from 1 species
GAGUUUGAUCAUGGCUCAGAACGUACGCUGGCGGCACGCCUAACACAUGCAAGUCGAACGAAGUAGCAAUACUUAGUGGCAGACGGGUGAGUAACAUGUAGGUAUCUGCCCUUUGGCCUGGAAUAACACGAGGAAACUUGUGCUAAUACCGGAUAAGUCUUUACGGAGAAAGCUUUAUGCACCAUUGGAUGAGCCUGCACUUGAUUAGUUUGUUGGUGGGGUAAUGGCCUACCAAGACUUUGAUCAAUAGCUGAUUUGAGAGGAUGAUCAGCCACAUUGGGACUGAGACACGGCCCAAACUCCUACGGAAGGCAGCAGUGGGGAAUCUUGCACAAUGGAGGAAACUCUGAUGCAGCGAUGCCGCGUGAGUGAAGAAGGCCUUUGGGUUGUAAAGCUCUUUCGUCGGGGAAGAAAAUGACUGUACCCGAAUAAGAAGGUCCGGCUAACUUCGUGCCAGCAGCCGCGGUAAUACGAAGGGACCUAGCGUAGUUCGGAAUUACUGGGCUUAAAGAGUUCGUAGGUGGUUGAAAAAGUUGGUGGUGAAAUCCCAGAGCUUAACUCUGGAACUGCCAUCAAAACUUUUCAGCUAGAGUUUGAUAGAGGAAAGCAGAAUUUCUAGUGUAGAGGUGAAAUUCGUAGAUAUUAGAAAGAAUACCAAUUGCGAAGGCAGCUUUCUGGAUCAUUACUGACACUGAGGAACGAAAGCAUGGGUAGCGAAGAGGAUUAGAUACCCUCGUAGUCCAUGCCGUAAACGAUGUGUGUUAGACGUUGGAAAUUUAUUUUCAGUGUCGCAGCGAAAGCGAUAAACACACCGCCUGGGGAGUACGACCGCAAGGUUAAAACUCAAAUGAAUUGACGGGGACCCGCACAAGUAGUGGAGCAUGUGGUUUAAUUCGAAGAUACGCGCAGAACCUUACCAACACUUGACAUGUUCGUCGCGACUUUAAGAGAUUAAAGUUUUCGGUUCGGCCGGACGAAACACAGGUGCUGCAUGGCUGUCGUCAGCUCGUGUCGUGAGAUGUUGGGUUAAGUCCCGCAACGAGCGCAACCCUCACUUUUAGUUGCCAUCAUUAAGUUGGGCACUCUGAAAGAACUGCCAGUGAUAAGCUGGAGGAAGGUGGGGAUGACGUCAAGUCCUCAUGGCCCUUACGUGUUGGGCUACACACGUGCUACAAUGGUAUCUACAACAGGAAGCAAAACGGCAACGUUAAGCAAAUCCCUAAAAGAUACCUCAGUUCGGAUUGCACUCUGCAACUCGAGUGCAUGAAGCUGGAAUUACUAGUAAUCGUGGAUCAGCGUGCCACGGUGAAUGCGUUCCCGGGUCUUGUACACACCGCCCGUCACACCAUGGGAGUUGGUUCUACCUUAAGGCAAGGUUUAAUACCCUUGACCACGGUAUAGUCAGCGACUGGGGUGAAGUCGUAACAAGGUAACC